rnacentral:lncRNA from 1 species
AACAUUUUGGCCACAAAUUCAAAGUGAGACCAGUCAGCUUUAUUCUUAGAUUUUUUUUCCCCCAGCAGGUUAAAUUGCUGGGGAAAGUUUUGGAUGGGUGUAAGAGAUGACUGGGCUGACCUGAGCUGCACCAUUUGCAAAGAACUGACCUGAAUGAUCGAAGAUAGACAACUGACUCAAGAGACCAAAUCUGGGACCCAGCACUCAGUGGUUCUUAUAGGUUAGGGAAACAAAGAGAAAACACCGCAUUUCCUUUGCCCUGACAUUUGUGGAGAUUUGCCACAAGGUUUUUUAUAGGCAUCUGCCUAUUGAUCAGGUAAGUUUAUAUGUAUCAUAUAGAAAAGGUGGUAUGUAGUUUUUUCCCUGUGAAAAAUUAACAUGGAAUUUUCUGUAUCCUUUUAGAAGGUAAAUUUUACUGAAACAAUUUGUAAACAUUGUUAAGAAUAUUAAAAAUAUAUAUGACCAUGU